UGAGAACUUUGAAGGCCGAAG
rnacentral:ncRNA from 2 species